CGASGAUGAAGWCCWUUCGGGGUGGAUUAGUGGCGAACGGGUGAGAAUACGKGGGCAAUCUGCCCUGSACUCUGGGACAAGCCCUGGAAACGGGGKCUAAUACCGGAUAACACCCUCUCUCGCAUGGGAGGGGGUUGAAAGCUCCGGCGGUGCAGGAUGAGCCCGCGGCCUAUCAGCUUGUUGGUGAGGUAGUGGCUCACCAAGGCGACGACGGGUAGCCGGCCUGAGAGGGCGACCGGCCACACUGGGACUGAGACACGGCCCAGACUCCUACGGGAGGCAGCAGUGGGGAAUAUUGCACAAUGGGSGAAAGCCUGAUGCAGCGACGCCGCGUGAGGGAUGACGGCCUUCGGGUUGUAAACCUCUUUCAGCAGGGAAGAAGCGAAAGUGACGGUACCUGCAGAAGAAGCGCCGGCUAACUACGUGCCAGCAGCCGCGGUAAUACKUWKGGSGCARGCGUUGUCCGGAAUUAUUGGGCGUAAAGAGCUCKUAGGCGGCUUGUCACGUCGGUUGUGAAAGCCCGGGGCUUAACCCCGGGUCUGCAGUCGAUACGGGCAGGCUAGAGUUCGGUAGGGGAGAUCGGAAUUCCUGGUGUAGCGGUGAAAUGCGCAGAUAUCAGGAGGAACACCGGUGGCGAAGGCGGAUCUCUGGGCCGAUACUGACGCUGAGGAGCGAAAGCGUGGGGAGCGAAACAAGGAUUAGAUACCCUGGUAGUCCACGCCGUAAACGGUGGGCACUAGGUGUGGGCAACAUUCCACGUGUCCGUGCCGCAKCUAACGCAUUAAGUGCCCCGCCUGGGGAGUACGGCCGCWAGGCUAAAACUCAAAGGAAWUUGACGGGGGCCCGCAYMAGCGGCGGAGCAUGUGGC
rnacentral:rRNA from 1 species